AAUCCAAGUGCCUUUGAGAGAUCAGAGCAGCGAGUUACAAUGCUGUUCUUGUUCCGUUGCGGGCAUAAAUCGAAACCCAUUGAUCUUUUCUUUGCUUCCUCUUGCAAGUAAUCUUCUUUACUGCAAAUCGGAAGAAAAGAUCUCACAUUU